UGGGGAAUCUUGCACAAUGGGGGCAACCCUGAUGCAGCGACGCCGCGUGAGCGAUGAAGGUUUUCGAAUCGUAAAGCUCUGUCCUAUGGGAAGAUAAUGACGGUACCAUAGGAGGAAGCCCCGGCUAACUACGUGCCAGCAGCCGCGGUAAUACGUAGGGGGCGAGCGUUGUCCGGAAUUACUGGGCGUAAAGGGUUCGCAGGCGGCAUGGCAAGUCCGAUGUAAAAGGCGAAGGCUCAACCUUCGUAAGCAUUUGAAACUGCAUAUCUUGAGAAGAGUAGAGGUAAGUGGAAUUUUUAGUGUAGCGGUGAAAUGCGUAGAUAUUAAAAAGAAUACCGGUGGCGAAGGCGACUUACUGGGCUCAUUCUGACGCUGAGGAACGAAAGCGUGGGUAGCAAACAGG
rnacentral:rRNA from 1 species